GGAGAAGUACUCAAGUUGGUGACGAGGCGCCCCUGCUAAGGGCGUAGGUCGGGUCAAAUCCGGCGCGAGGGUUCGAGUCCCUCCUUCUCCGCCA
rnacentral:tRNA from 1 species